UAGUCUCGCACAGAUGCAUAUCAAUAAGCGGAGGAAAAGAAACUAACAAGGAUUCCCUUAGUAACGGCGAGUGAAGCGGGAAGAGCUCAAAUUUGAAAUCUUCAAGGUUUUACCUUGACGAAUUGUAGUUUAAAGAAGUGUUUUCUGUUGAAGUUUUGGUAAAAGUUCUUUGGAAUAGGACAUCAUAGAGGGUGAGAAUCCCGUAUUUGACCAUUAUUUUCAGCUGUGUGAUACACUUUCAAAGAGUCGGAUUGUUUGGGAAUGCAGUCCAAAAUGGGUGGUAAAUUUCAUCUAAAGCUAAAUAUUGGCGAGAGACCGAUAGCGAACAAGUACCGUGAGGGAAAGAUGAAAAGAACUUUGAAAAGAGAGUUAAACAGUACGUGAAAUUGUCAAAAGGGAAGCGUUUGACACCAGUGUUGUUUUCUCGAAAAUCAAUUAAAAAGAGUUAGAUUUUGUUGUGUAUUGACCUUAACAGCUUAGCAUUUCAAUUUUCUUGCUUUUUUUAAUGCACUUUUCGUUUAACAAGUCAACAUCAGUUUCUUUUGUUGUAAAAAGGUCAUUGGAAGGUGGCUUUCUUUUCGGAGAAAGGUGUUUAUAGCCUUUGACUCCUGCAAUCGGAGAGACUGAGGUCUGCAGCGUAGAUCCUUCGGGGUUAGAUACAUUUGUGCUAAGUUAUAGCUUUUUAUAGACAACUUGUUGACUAUGAUUAGUCUUGUAGCUUACUCGCUUAUGCUAUUUUACCUACGCUUAGGAUGUUGAGCGCAUGUCUCUCUCU
rnacentral:rRNA from 1 species